rnacentral:lncRNA from 1 species
GCCGCCGGCUCCGGUCCCGGCGCUGCCCCCGCUCCCCGGCGUUUUGGCAAGGGCAGGGCUGAACCCCCCCGCCCCGUGCCGCUCGCAGCCACCCCACUGUAUCCGGGCGUUGUGCAUCCCCCAGGAGGUGUGGCUGAACAGACAAGGAUCUCAUCUAGUCUCAUCUCCCAGUGACCUGUCACAAACCAGAGGCAGCCCUAAAUACCUUAGAGGCAAGGUACAAGGAAACCUGUGUCAGAUAUGUCUAAAUUAUCUGGCUCUUGAAGAAAGACUCCUUCCACCCUGUCAUUAUUAAAAAAGGAAAGAAAACAAAACACAGAAAACUGAAAAGCCCAAACAAACAAAAAUGGAAGCUUUCAAGAAGGAAGUGUUUGGCUGGUAAUCCAAGUGGGAUGAGGAGCAUUACAGACUGCAAUUCUCUAGUCUGUGAAUUUAAUGGCACUGUCACUGGUUUGAAGUGAAUGGUUUCUGGCAAUCAACAUCUGCAUGGAAAUAUUUGUCCUGUAGCUCAGGAAUACGGACUCACAGCGCCCGCAUCCAGAGCAGAGCGGCACGGAGGGAAAGGCUUCAGCACCACGGGCAGCGCCCACGCCAGGGCAGGCGGCGGGAGUGGGCACGGCCGGACGGCAGCGGCUCAUGGCUCAUUGCCAAAGGGAGGCAAGCUGGUCGUGCUGAGCAGGAAGGGCCUUUUUGUGCCUGGGCAAAGGUGGCUGUGGUGCGCCUUGGAGAAAGCACAGAACAACAGAGCACGGUGGAAAGCUGCUCUGAUAGAGCCUAUGCUAUGGGAAAGAGAUACUCCUGGAAUAUGGCGAGACCAGAGAAGAUGGAGCCAAGCGGCACCAGUUGUGAGAGUGCAGCAGCAAGGCUUGAGUACACAUUCAAAGCAGUAG